UACAGAGGGUGCGAGCGUUGUUCGGAAUUAUUGGGCGUAAAGCGCUUGUAGGCGGCACGUCAAGUCGCGUGUGAAAUCCCCAGGCUUAACCUGGGAAGUGCGCGCGAAACUGACGAGCUUGAGUGCCGGAGAGGGUCGCGGAAUUCCCGGUGUAGAGGUGAAAUUCGUAGAUAUCGGGAGGAACACCAGUGGCGAAGGCGGCGACCUGGACGGACACUGACGCUGAGACG
rnacentral:rRNA from 1 species